ensembl:ncRNA Y43F8A.9 ncRNA
GACAAAACUGAAAGUAAUGACAAAAUUUGGUGAGCCAACUUGAAAUAACAGGAGCACAAAAAAGUUGGUAUCAGCAGGGCGGAGAAAGUUGG